GCACCAAAUGCGCAGGGAAUUACAGGGUCGCGGGUUCGAGUCCCGCCCUGCCGGUUCUCCGGCAGGUAACUCAGCCAGGUAGAGUAUGUGAGCAUUUCCUGCACCCUCGUUGGUGUGAU
rfam:Cardiobacterium hominis ATCC 15826 genomic scaffold SCAFFOLD4, whole genome shotgun sequence.